ACUGAAGGCUGCACUAUCAGCUUUCCUACUUUUGAGGUGUGGGGAUUUGGAUUGACUUUCUGCUGCUUGUGGACAGCCUAUUCUGGGACCUCACCUUGCAAUCAUCAUCUGUUCUGUUUGUACAGAAAGCGAACUUCUGGUAGCUGGAAUCUGUCUCCAUUUGGCCCAUGGAUUCAAGAAUGAUAACUUUUCCCCUUAGGGUGAACAGGAUGUGGCAGCGGAGUUCAGUAGCAGAGUGGAGUGACUACAGAAGAGCACAAAGAAACUUUCGGGGUGAUAGGCAGAUGGAUCCUGAUUACAGUAUUACAGCAGGUUUGCCUUGCUUAAAUAAGUCAGAACUCUUGGAGAACACGACAGAAGUGUAUGGAAGGUUCAAUGUGGUUCCAUCACCAUAUCACUGUAAUAACAUCUAUGCAUGAUACCCUCUCUUUCUUAUUGGUGACUUUUUGACAUUGUUACCAGUGGAAAGUGUCCAAGUUCUUGGCAUCUUGAACAAAGAACUGGACAAAAUGCACCAAGAAAGCUAAGAAAGAAUAAAACAAGAAAACCGGAGAUUUAUUGAAAAUAAAAGUAUACUUCACAGGGUAGGAGCAGGCCUUAGUAUGGAGGCUCAAGAUCACUGUUACAGGAUUUU